UAACUGUCGCUCCUCUAUGCCGAUAUUUGCUGCAACCAGAUAUAGCUGCGGACUGCAGGAACAAUAGAUAAAUCUGAAAUAUCAAAAUGUUUUGCAAUCAAUACAAAUUCAUGUCGACAAUGCUACAGAACUUACCACUUCUUUGAAUGUUGUAUACAAAAAAAAAAUACUAGAAAUUAAACCAAAACAAUUUACACCGAACAACACCAGCUUCAUGCUAUGAAAAGACUGCCAACUGUUUUUUCACCCAUAAAUGGGUUUAAAAACACCCAUUUUUAAUCUGGAGCGGCUUUAUAAUAAUGGGUGUUUAUUUACCCGUUUUGGAAUUUUGAAUUUACCCUUUUUAUGACAGAUCUCUCUGCUAUUUGAAAAUGAGUAUUUUUUUACUCAUUAAAGGGUACUCGCAAACCACCGUGUAGGUUCUGAUUUGUGCAUCAGAGAUCCGGAUCUACUUUUUUUUUUGUAUUUAAGUGGUAAAAGUUUUGUAUUUGAGAGAAUUUCAACAAUCCAUGGCCUUUUAGAAAUACCUCAUGAGGAGUGGAUGCAUAUGAGACGGUACCAAUCCUCAGAGUCUAUGAAUGGAGAGUUGCGCGAAGAGACUUCUUUGAAUGGUUGUUCUUCUUCGUCUUCGAAAACAGCCCCUAUCUGUUUUGCUGGUCUGCUCGAUAGGUAGACGGUUUGACAGUUCGAUAGGUAGAUUUGGUAUCACUCUUCGCGCAACUCUCCAUUCAUAAACUCUGCCAAUCCUAUCUCCGGAAGCGAUUUGAUGUCUAUGAGAUACCUGAUUCAAAGAUUUCCAAAAACUGUCGACCUUAUAAAGCGACAUUUCUGUUCAAUCUUGAAAUUCACGAUUUCCUCCUCAAAAACAAGCAGGUGGAGCACAAGCUUUGCCUGGUGCUUCUUAAUGGUUUUUCAUUGAGGGUAGUUAUCAACAUUGUGCGUGAAAGCCGUAGCUCAACUAAAUCCUCUCUGAAAUGGAUGGUGUCCUGGAAAGGCAAAAACGGCCAACGAUGGAUAACGCUCCAGAUGUCGGAUGAAGAAAUGCGUUGGACAUCUUCCGGGGAUCUUUGUUUGGAGUGUCCAUUGGCAUGGUAACACUCAUUUGGAUGUGAAUACAUAGAAAUAAAUAAUUUCAUAAAUAUGAAGCUUGAAAGUUGAAAACGAAUAAUGUGCCAUUAUGAAAAAAAAAAAACAAUAAAAACAGGAAAAAUUUGAGCUUA